rnacentral:rRNA from 1 species
UACGUAGGGUGCAAGCGUUAAUCGGAAUUACUGGGCGUAAAGCGUGCGCAGGCGGUUAUGUAAGACAGAUGUGAAAUGCCCGGGCUUAACCUGGGAACUGCAUUUGUGACUGCAUGGCUAGAGUUUGGCAGAGGGGGGUAGAAUUCCACGUGUAGCAGUGAAAUGCGUAGAUAUGUGGAGGAACACCGAUGGCGAAGGCAGCCCCCUGGGUCAAGAUUGACGCUCAUGCACGAAAGGCGUGGGGAGCAAACAGG